GACGGAGGGCGCAAGCGUUGUUCGGAAUUACUGGGCGUAAAGCGCGCGUAGGCGGGAGGGGAAGUCGGGGGUGAAAUCUUAGGGCUCAACCCUAGGGCUGCCGCCGAGACUCUUCUUCUAGGGACCGGUAGAGGCCGGUGGAAUUCCCGGUGUAGCGGUGGAAUGCGUAGAUAUCGGGAAGAACACCAGUGGCGAAGGCGACCGGCUGGGCCGGAGACUUCUUAUGGAGUCGAUCCGACGCUGAGGCGCGAAAGCG
rnacentral:misc_RNA from 1 species